UUGAAAUAAACUUGGUGUGGGUUGUAGCUGGCCUUUUGGCAAGUGCUCGCCUUCAUCAUCUUUAUAUUUCCACCUGUGCACCUUUUGUAGACCAGAAAGAAAAAAAAUGAGAUUUUGAUCUCUUUUAAAGUAUUUCUUGUCUAUGCUUUUUAUAUACCCCUAAAAUGUAAUAGAAUGUUAAUCUAUGGGCCUUCGUGCCUAUAAACAAAAAUUAUA
rnacentral:misc_RNA from 1 species